rnacentral:rRNA from 1 species
AUUAAACGCUGGCGGCAUGCCUUACACAUGCAAGUCGAACGGCAGCACGGGGGCAACCCUGGUGGCGAGUGGCGGACGGGUGAGUAACACAUCGGAACGUGCCCUGGAGUGGGGGAUAACGCAGCGAAAGCUACGCUAAUACCGCAUAUUCUGUGAGCAGGAAAGCAGGGGAUCGCAAGACUUUGCGCUUUGGGAGCGGCCGAUGUCGGAUUAGCUAGUUGGUGGGGUAAAGGCUUACCAAGGCGACGAUCCGUAGCGGGUCUGAGAGGAUGAUCCGCCACACUGGGACUGAGACACGGCCCAGACUCCUACGGGAGGCAGCAGUGGGGAAUUUUGGACAAUGGGCGGAAGCCUGAUCCAGCCAUGCCGCGUGAGUGAAGAAGGCCUCGGUUGUAAGA